CAGCCGCCGCGGGAAAACAGAGGGUGCGAGCGUUAAUCGGAUUUACUGGGCGUAAAGCGUGCGUAGGCGGCUUCUUAAGUCGGAUGUGAAAUCCCUGAGCUUAACUUAGGAAUUGCAUUCGAUACUGGGAAGCUAGAGUAUGGGAGAGGAUGGUAGAAUUCCAGGUGUAGCGGUGAAAUGCGUAGAGAUAUGGAGGAAUACCGAUGGCGAAGGCAGCCAUCUGGCCUAGUACUGACGCUGAGGUACGAAAGCAUGGGGAGCAAACAGGAUUAGAGACCCGCGUAGUCCCUGUCUCUUAUAC
rnacentral:rRNA from 1 species